AGUGAACGCUGGCGGUAGGCCUAACACAUGCAAGUCGAACGGCAGCACAGAGGAGCUUGCUCCUUGGGUGGCGAGUGGCGGACGGGUGAGGAAUACAUCGGAAUCUACUUUUUCGUGGGGGAUAACGUAGGGAAACUUACGCUAAUACCGCAUACGACCUACGGGUGAAAGCAGGGGAUCUUCGGACCUUGCGCGAUUGAAUGAGGCGAUGUCGGAUGAGCUAGUUGGCGGGGUAAAGGCCCACCAAGGCGACGAUCCGUAGCUGGUCUGAGAGGAUGAUCAGCCACACUGGAACUGAGACACGGUCCAGACUCCUACGGGAGGCAGCAGUGGGGAAUAUUGGACAAUGGGCGCAAGCCUGAUCCAGCCAUACCGCGUGGGUGAAGAAGGCCUUCGGGUUGUAAAGCCCUUUUGUUGGGAAAGAAAUCCAGCCGGCUAUACCUGGUUGGGAUGACGGUACCCAAAGAAUAAGCACCGGCUAACUUCGUGCCAGCCGCCGCCGUAA
rnacentral:rRNA from 1 species